rnacentral:rRNA from 1 species
AGUGGAUGGGGAGCAACCUAGUUGUGCGUGUGUAAAGGUAGUGCCAAGAAAAGCGGUGAUCAUGAUGAAAAUCAAUUCCCGGUACCCGAAACCGACACAGGUGGGCAAGUAGAGAAUACUAAGGGGCGCGAGGUAACUCUCUCCAAGGAACUCGGCAAAAUGACCCCGUAACUUAGGGAGAAGGGGUGCCACCGAGAGGUGGUCGCAGUGAAGAGGCCCAGGCGACUGUUUAGCAAAAACAUAGGUCUCUGCAAACUCGAAAGAGGAGGUAUAGGGGCUGACGCCUGCCCAGUGCCGGAAGGUUAAAGAAGUUGGUCAGUCUUAGGAUAAAGCUAGCGACUGAAGCCCCGGUGAACGGCGGCCGUAACUAUAACGGUCCUAAGGUAGCGAAAUUCCUUGUCGGGUAAGUUCCGACCCGCACGAAAGGCGUAACGAUCUGGGCGCUGUCUCGGAGAGAGGCUCGGCGAAAUAGGAUUGUCUGUGAAGAUACGGACUACCUGCAUUUGGACAGAAAGACCCUAUGAAGCUUUACUAUAGCUUGGAAUUGUGUUCGGGCUUCCUGUGCGCAGGAUAGGUGGGAGGCGAAGAAGGUAUUCUUGUGGGGAUACUGGAGCCAACGGUGAGAUACCACUCUCAGGAGGCUAUAAUUCUAACUUAAUUAAGGACAGUUUCAGGUGGGUAGUUUGACUGGGGCGGUCGCCUCCAAAAAGGUAACGGAGGCGUACAAAGGUUCCCUCAGACUGGUUGGAAAUCAGUCGCAGAGUGCAAAGGCAGAAGGGAGCUUGACUGCGAGAAGUACAGUUCGAGCAGGGUGGAAACACGGUCUUAGUGAUCCGACGGUGCUGUGUGGAAGGGCCGUCGCCCAACGGAUAAAAGUUACUCUAGGAUAACAGGCUGAUCUCCCCCAAGAGUUCACAUCGACGGGGAGGUUUGGCACCUCGAUGUCGGCUCAUCGCAACCUGGGGCGGAAGUACGUCCCAAGGGUUGGGCUGUUCGCCCAUUAAAGCGGUACGUGAGCUGGGUUCAGAACGUCGUGAGACAGUUCGGUCCAUAUCCGAUGUAGGCGUGAGAAUAUUGAGAGGAGCCUUCCUUAGUACGAGAGGACCGGGAAGGACGCACCGCUGGUGUACCUGUUAUGAUGCCAAUUGUAAACGCAGGGUAGCCAAGUGCGGAGAGGAUAACCGCUGAAAGCAUCUAAGUGGGAAGCCCACCUCAAGAUGAGUAUUCUGGUGUAAGGUCACGGGAAGACGACCCGUAAAUAGGCACGAGGUGGAAGUGCAGAGAUGUAUGAAGCCGAAGUGUACUAAUAGACCGUCGGCUUGACCG